UGGGGAAUCUUCCGCAAUGGACGAAAGUCUGACGGAGCAACGCCGCGUGAGUGAAGACGGCCUUCGGGUUGUAAAGCUCUGUGAUCCGGGACGAAAGAGCCUGAGGUUAAUAGCCUAAGGAAGUGACGGUACCGGAAAAGCAAGCCACGGCUAACUACGUGCCAGCAGCCGCGGUAAUACGUAGGUGGCAAGCGUUGUCCGGAAUUAUUGGGCGUAAAGCGCGCGCAGGCGGCUUCCUAAGUCCAUCUUAAAAGUGCGGGGCUUAACCCCGUGAUGGGAUGGAAACUGGGAAGCUGGAGUAUCGGAGAGGAAAGUGGAAUUCCUAGUGUAGCGGUGAAAUGCGUAGAGAUUAGGAAGAACACCGGUGGCGAAGGCGACUUUCUGGACGAAAACUGACGCUGAGGCGCGAAAGCGUGGGGAGCAAACAGG
rnacentral:rRNA from 1 species